AUUGAACGCUGGCGGCAUGCCUUACACAUGCAAGUCGAACGGUAACGGGUCCUUCGGGAUGCCGACGAGUGGCGAACGGGUGAGUAAUAUAUCGGAACGUGCCCAGUAGUGGGGGAUAACUGCUCGAAAGAGCAGCUAAUACCGCAUACGACCUGAGGGUGAAAGGGGGGGAUCGCAAGACCUCUCGCUAUUGGAGCGGCCGAUAUCAGAUUAGCUAGUUGGGGGGGUAAAGGCCUACCAAGGCAACGAUCUGUAGUUGGUCUGAGAGGACGACCAGCCACACUGGGACUGGGACACGGCCCAGACUCCUACGGGAGGCAGCAGUGGGGAAUUUUGGACAAUGGGCGCAAGCCUGAUUCAGCAAUGCCGCGUGCAGGAAGAAGGCCUUCGGGUUGUAAACUGCUUUUGUCAGGGAAGAAAUCUUCUGGGCUAAUACCCCGGGAGGAUGACGGUACCUGAAGAAUAAGCACCGGCUAACUACGUGCCAGCCGCCGCGGUAA
rnacentral:rRNA from 1 species